GUUUAUCUGUAGCGCAAUAGAUAGCGUGUUGGUCUUCUAAUCCAAAGAUAGUGGGUUCAAAUUCCGCCGGAAAUU